CUAAUGACGGUCUUCAGUAUGAUUGAUUGAAGCGAUCGUCCACUCAUGAAGUUCAGAAGAGAUGCCUGGAGGGAGAAAAUUCCAAACCCUGAACCAACUGUGGGUUUACAGGCUGAUGUCUUUUUAAACAUGAAAAACCAUCAACAAAACUACAACACAAGGAAACACGAGAGGAGAACAUUACAGAUGCCUUCAGACAAACAGCAACAGUGAAUGAUGAU